rnacentral:rRNA from 1 species
UUAGUGGCGCACGGGUGAGUAAUGUAUAGCUAAUCUGCCCCUUGGAUGAGGACAACAGUUGGAAACGACUGCUAAUACUCUAUACUCCAUUUUUGUCUCAAGAUAAAAUGGGAAAUGUUUUUUCGCCAAGGGAUGAGGCUGUAUCGUAUCAGCUAGUUGGUGAGGUAAUGGCUCACCAAGGCAAUGACGCGUAGCUGGUCUGAGAGGAUGAUCAGCCACACUGGAACUGAGACACGGUCCAG